rnacentral:rRNA from 1 species
UACGUAGGGUGCGAGCGUUAAUCGGAAUUACUGGGCGUAAAGCGUGCGCAGGCGGUUUUGUAAGACAGCUGUGAAAUCCCCGGGCUCAACCUGGGAACUGCGGUUGUGACUGCAAGACUUGAGUACGGCAGAGGGGGGUGGAAUUCCUGGUGUAGCAGUGAAAUGCGUAGAUAUCAGGAGGAACACCGAUGGCGAAGGCAGCCCCCUGGGCCUGUACUGACGCUCAUGCACGAAAGCGUGGGGAGCAAAC